rnacentral:rRNA from 1 species
CCCUUAGAUGUCCUGGGCCGCACGCGUGCUACACUGACGCAUACAGCGAGCACUUUCCAGUUCCGAGAGGCUACUGGUAAUCAUCAAUAUGCGUCGUGAUGGGGAUAGAUCUUUGGAAUUCUGGAUCUUGAACGAGGAAUGCCUAGUAAUCGCAGGUCAUUAGCCUGCGAUGAUUAAGUCCCUGCCCUUUGUACACACCGCCCGUCGCUACUACCGAUUUCGAGUGGUCGGGUGAAUCUUUCGGACUGUGGGCGCCCUUGAGGUGUUCGCGGAAAGUCAGGUAAAUCUUAUCACUUAGAGGAAGUAAAAGUCGUAACA